GGUGCCCUCGACGCCUUGGUUUACGGCUAGGUGGCUGUUUGUGUGUGUAUGUGCAUGAGGCACACAGACACUUCAGGACUUUAACCACUGCCAUCCAAAUUGUAGUCGUCUCUCAAGACACUUGGAUUCCUUACACAAGAAAGAGCUCAUUGUAAAGCUGCAGAAUUCAGGUUGUGCAGAAGUGAAAGAAAAUUACAAAUUACUUUAUGCAUGCUGGCUGCAGAUUACUGGUGCUCACAAAGAGAGGAUUAUUACUUUAAGUGGAGAAUGGGGGUUAUUCUGUUGAUAAUGCACUACAGUAACCUCUGUUCAUUCCUUUCAUU
rnacentral:lncRNA from 1 species